CCUACGGGUGGCAGCAGUGGGGAAUAUUGCACAAUGGGGGAAACCCUGAUGCAGCGACGCCGCGUGGGUGAAGGAGGACUUCGUUAUGUAAAGCUCUAUCAGCAGGGAAGAAAAUGAUGGUACCUGAAUUAGAAGCCACGGCUAACUACGUGCCAGCAGCCGCGGUAAUACGGAGGGGGCAAGCGUUAUCCGGAUUUACUGGGGGUAAAGGGAGCGUAGACGGCAGUGCAAGGCUGGAGUGAAAGGCGGGGGCUCAACCCCCGGACUGCUCUGGAAACGGUACGGCUGGAGGGCAGGAGGGGUAGGUGGAAUUCCUAGUGUAGCGGUGAAAUGCGUAGAUAUUAGGAGGAACACCAGUGGCGAAGGCGGCUUACUGGACUGUAACUGACGCUGAGGCUCGAAAGCGUGGGGAGCAAACAGGAUUAGAUACCCCUGUAGUC
rnacentral:rRNA from 1 species